GAGCUUUCUCACCUGUGCCCUCAGCCCUCAAGACUUCGCCAGACCUUGAUUUUCGAUUGAAGAUAAUCGUUGCUUCGCUAUCCCGAUACCAAAAUGGGAAGAUCUCCCUUCUGGGUUGGUAGAUGAAUUGUUCUGGGUAACAGGCGGUGGACAUCUUCGUUGACAGAUCUGAGUUAUCGACUUGGUCAUAUGCCCUAAAGUUACCCUAAGCCCUCGGGGCUCCAUCCGAACCUGUGACUCAACCUUCUCUUUAGCGGAGGAGAAUAGUUCCGAGUGAGUGUGCUCCCGAACCAACGAUUUGUAUACUCUUUGCCCCAGGCACCAGGAUAAUUCGAGGUGGAUAGCCCUGACUGACAGGGGACUAAGAUUAGGAAGCAUCCACAAGAGCGAAAGAGCCCUUUUAUGUUUGUUUCGCUAAUCUUAUAGAUUGGAAGUUUGCCCAGCACAGAGUAGUAGGGUUAUGCUUUCGAAAGUCUUUUCAGAGUAUAAGGGAGGUCCAUC